GGUUAAGCGACUAAGCGUACACGGUGGAUGCCCUGGCAGUCAGAGGCGAUGAAGGACGUGCUAAUCUGCGAUAAGCGUCGGUAAGGUGAUAUGAACCGUUAUAACCGGCGAUUUCCGAAUGGGGAAACCCAGUGUGAUUCGUCACACUAUCAUUAACUGAAUCCAUAGGUUAAUGAGGCGAACCGGGGGAACUGAAACAUCUAAGUACCCCGAGGAAAAGAAAUCAACCGAGAUUCCCCCAG
rnacentral:rRNA from 3 species